rnacentral:rRNA from 1 species
GAUGAACGCUGGCGGCGUGCCUAAUACAUGCAAGUCGAGCGAAAAGACGAGGAGCUUGCUCCUCUGACGUUAGCGGCGGACGGGUGUGUAACACGUGGAUAACCUACUUAUAAGACUGGGAAAACUUCGGGAAACCGGCGCUAAUAGCGGAUAAUAUAUUGAACCGUAGGGUUCAAUGGUGAAAGACGGUUUUGCGGUCACUUCUAGAUGGAUCUCCGCCGCAUUAGCUAGUUGGUAAGGUAACGGCUUACCAAGGCAACGAUGCGUAGCCGACCUGAGGGGGUGGUCGGCCACACUGGAACGUAGACACGGACCAGACUCCUACGGUAGGCAGCAGUAGGGAAUCUUCCGCAAUAGGCGAAAGCCUUACGGAGCAACGCCGCGUGAGUGAUAGAGGUCUUCGGAUCGUAAAACUCUGUUAUUAGGGAAGAACAAAUGUGUAAGUAACUAUGCACGUCUUGACGGUACCUAAUCAGAAAGCCACGGCUAACUACGUG